GACGAACGCUGGCGGCGUGCCUAACACAUGCAAGUCAACUUGACUGAAGGAGCAAUCUGACAGUAGAGUGGCGCAAGGGUGCGUAACGCGUAAGUAACUUGCCCAAGGUAAGGAAUAACGUCGAGAAAUCGGCGCUAAUACCUCAUAAUGCAGCGGAUCCGCAUGGAUAUGUUGUUAAAGGUUAACCGCCUUGGGAUAGGCUUGCGUCUGAUUAGUUAGUUGGUGUGGUAACGGCACACCAAGGCUACGAUCAGUAACUGGUCUGAGAGGAUGAUCAGUCACACUGGAACUGAGACACGGUCCAGACUCCUACGGGAGGCAGCAGUGAGGAAUAUUGGGCAAUGCUCGAAAGAGUGACCCAGCAACGCCGCGUGGAGGAUGAAGGUAUUCUAUAUCGUAAACUCCUGUGAGAGCAGACGAAAGACAGAUUAUUAAUCUGGAUGACUGUAUGCUCAGAGGAAGCCCCGGCUAACUACGU
rnacentral:rRNA from 1 species